ACUUGAGACCCCAUGACCCCAAAGAGGAAUGCAAAUCGCUCUGGGGUGAAGCUGGGCAGCUAUGCAGAAGGACAGACACAGCACUUUUGAUUUAAGAGUGAGGAUGAUCUUACCCCAGUGUGGCUACGGAGAAACUUAAGAUGGGUGGAUUGUCAGGUCUUGCCUCUGAGUUGGAUCAGGAAAGUGAGAUCAAAACCAAGGUGAAGGAUUGGUGUUGUGACCCUUGAAGAAGAUUCAAGUUAGCCUGGGGUACCCUCUUGGUUUUCCACUCCCAAACUGGGAUUAACUUUAUAAUCUUCCAUAAAUGUAGAGAAGUUGGGGGCUUUCCAGUGCUAGCCUGAGUAAGUACUAUUUGAAGACAAAUCAGAACAAGAUGGCUUUGCAUUGUAAAAGAAGGAAAAGAAUACAGGAAGUAAAUACAUCUGGAGACAUAUGUUUGGGCAAGAGGUAUUCUACAAUAUAGCCUUGUUCUUAUAAUGCAGAAUUAGAGACACGGAAUUUUUCUCAGAAUGCUGAAAGUAAUAUACAGAUGAAGACAACAUACUAAAGAUAAGCUGCUGGUCACUGUUUCUACAACAAGACACCUGAAGUUCUCGGAGAUUUGGCGUCAGUUAAGAGCUUACAAGGAGCAUAAAACAGCACCAGGGGCUACUGGAAAAUCCCUGAUGUAUCCAGGCCAUGAUCCCUCUGCCAGAGAAACCACUUACCCUGAAGGUACCACGACUGUGUGGAAAGAUGAGAAAGGAAGAGAAGAAGAUAAGGCCAAAAGGCACAAAGAACGAGGUUGUUUCAGAUACCUUGAGAGACAGAGUGCCAGGGACAAGUUUCCUGACAACAGUUCAAGGUUUCACCACCACCUGAAAACCUUCCGAUGAGUGGGAAGUGAGUAGAAGUUUGAGAACUACUGGACUAGAGGAACGUCUUAAACUACUGACUGAGGAGUGAAUGAGCCUGGUUAUCUAAGAACAGGACUGAAGACCAAGUGAAGAUCAAGCUGAGCUGUGCGGCCCCAGAUGUACCGGCAGAAGCCAUGGAGGAGGUGGCCCUGGGAGGGGUAGGGCGCUAUGUAUUCAGAAGUAAACUAUCCAGAACUGACGUCUCCGCAACCUGGGUCCAUCUCUUCAACUCGAUGUCCAAAUUCUCCUGGUCAGUUUGGUCUGUGCUGGGUGGGUGUGCGUUGGCAGAAACCUCAAUGAGGGCUCUAAACAUUUUCACAUGUUCUUUUCCCUCUUGUGGCUCGGGUGUUUAUUCUUUCAUUUUUACCAAACCUAAGAUGACAUGAUCAUUUUCUCCCAAGUUUCUUUACAUUUCUGAAUUUCCAGAUUUCCUUUUUGGCAGAAUUAAGCCCAGAAUAACAGGGUUCCUUGAGAACCUGUCAGUAACUCAAGCAAAGAAUUUAUCAAGAUGUUCUGAUGUGCCUGGGCAAAAUCUGUGGGGCAUCUCAGUAAAGACAACAGGGCAAUAAAGACACUGAUAAAAUUCUUCAGAGCUGUCCCGUGAACCCUGCUUAUGAUUCCUGCCUGCUCCAUCCCUCCAUGCCUGACUCCCCCUCACCCCAGGACAAGGGAGCACUCUGUUCUGAACCGUCAUCACUGACCUUGAGAUUCCAGCCAUGGCUCCUGAGAUGGCCCACAAAGCUCCCGUCCCCCAAAGGCUAGUCCAUUUCAGAGCAUUCUCACCCUGCUCCUACCCCCUCACUCUACCAUGCCUGUGUCUACGCAAAAAGGGACCCAGAUGCACGGCUCAACUAUAAUCUCUGAGGAAGGGCUGGGCUCCUGCCUUACUUUCAUAGUAAUCACAGACGUCAUCUUCUAUGCAUAGAUUUACCUUUGCCUUCCAUUCCUAUGGACUCAUGAAAACUCCUAUUUAAAUAUGAGACUGAUAUGCGCUAAAAAGCAUUACCAGGUGACGUUGAGAAAUCUCUCUCUCUCUCUUUUUAGAUAAUAAAUACACCAUCAAUCAUUUUCAGACAAAAAUAUUUUUCUUAUUUAUUGUAGAGGCAUUCUAAAAUAUAAUCCUUUUUCACUUUGCUGUCAAACACAUUGUUUUUAAGUACAAAAUUUUCUUCAAAAGAAUCUAAUUUUCUAUGUUAUUUUUGUUUAAUUAUUGCACUGAUGUCAAAAAUGGGUAUUACUUUAAUCGACAUGAAAGUAAUGUCUAUUACUUUAAUGGUGUAUAUUAUGAAGACAUUCCAAAGUUUUAGCAAAAAAAGAGAGAGCAGCUUUUUCAUGAAUCAAUGGGAAGAACCAGCCUUUGUGAAGAAACUAUGGUACCUCAGGCAUAUUCACUCAUCUAACCCCCCACUGAUCUUGUCAAAGUGGAUGUUGUUAUCUUCAUUUUACAGAUGAGAACACUGGAGUUCAGACAGGCUGGAAAACUGUCUCCAAAUCUGACUCCAGGGUCUGGGCUUUCUUCCUCAGCCCCACGCUGCUUCCCCCACCUCCACCCAGACAAUGCUCCACCGCACACUCCUUGCAUAGGCUGAUAUCUGCGUGUAGUGUGCAUGGGGCUGUUAAAAACUAAUUAAUGGUGGGGGGGGUUCUUUGCAGGUGAAGAAAAUAGGAAUUCCACCCUGCCUAAAAAUGUUCCCCAAAUUGUGAAUGAAUUUUUUGCAGAAACUUUACAGGGCCAUGUAAUUUGGGAGCUAAAAUACAUUUAGUUUGUUUUAAAUCCAGAUUUCCAAGAUCUGAAUGUGUGUAUUGACCAUCGGUGCAUUUCAAUACAAGACUCGUCGGUUUAUCCAUGCAGAAGGUAGCUCAAAACAUCCUGGGUUUCAGUUCGGAAGCCUCACAGCAAAGACACUUGUUCAAUUUAUCCUUAGCUGGUAUGCUGUUAUAAAACGUCUCUUACAUUCCUGGUUAUUUAAUCUUCAAAACUGAAGGCUACCUUUACUUAAGGAAAAUGCUGUAGAAGGGAAAUAAUUAGAGCAGAAGCAGCUCUAAAUGCUGUUCUUGCUUUUAUCUAUUUUUAAAUGAUUGCUAGAUGUCUGUAACUGACACCCAUAAUCAGUGGUUUGAAGUUUGGAUGUGUUCACCAAAACGUAACGUGACAGUGGUGCCAUUUGAUCGAUGGAUUUUGGGGGUUGACUUUUUGCCUUAAAUUUUUAAAAAAUCUAUUUAACAACUCAAGUACAACGUCAUGCCUACAGUUAAUAAUACUCUAUUGCACACUUACAAAUUUAUUAAAAGGGUAGAUCUCAUGUUAAGUGUUCUUACCACACUAAAAAAAAGGAAAAGGAAAGAAAAUCUAUUUUAACGACCCAACAAAUGCUUGCAUCAGCCAUUUGCAAAUGCCCGAUAGCUUUUCAGCAACUUGCAUUCCUCUUGUCAGACAAGAUACUGCUGUGUCCAUUCAGAAAGCGGGGGUUUUCAAUCAUCCAGAUAAUCCAAGUAAAAGGAAUAACUUUUGAUUAAAAUACUCAAAUAUUUCAGGCAAAAGUGUCCAGUGCCUGAAUUCUCUGGACAGGUAACUCAGUUUUUCAUGUUACUUUGCAAAGUCUUUACAAAUUACUCCUUUGAAUCAUCCUACAUAUUUUUAUUUCCUAAUUGUUGAAAUAGCCAUGAUGUGGAAGAAAUCUUUUUAAAUUAUUGUCAAGCCAAAAUAAACAGACAUUAAAAAAAAAAUUUCCAAAAAGGGUCAGAGUGGACCUAAAUUAAACAUGAGAAUUUGGCCACUUUAAAACCCUACAUACCCAAAUAUGCUGUAUAGCCCCUCCUUGUUUUACCUUGUUCUAUUUCAUAAGGAAAGAAUCUGCUUUGUUCCCUACCAUAGAAAAUGUAAACAACUACAUAUUUAAAGCACAGCCAUUCCUUAUAUAAAAACCAAAGUCUAGAUACUUACU